UACGAAGGGUGCAAGCGUUACUCGGAAUUACUGGGCGUAAAGCGUGCGUAGGUGGUGAGUUAAGUCUGUCGUGAAAGCCCCGGGCUCAACCUGGGAAUGGCGAUGGAUACUGGCUCGCUAGAGUGCGGUAGAGGAGAGUGGAAUUCCCGGUGUAGCAGUGAAAUGCGUAGAGAUCGGGAGGAACAUCAGUUGCGAAGGCGGCUCUCUGGACCAGCACUGACACUGAGUCACGAAAAGCGUGGGGGAGCAAACAGG
rnacentral:rRNA from 1 species